rnacentral:lncRNA from 1 species
UUAAAGAGACGGGGAAGAGAUGAAGAGACUAAUCCUAAGCAUAAAUUUAAAAGUUAGGAGUUGAAAAGAUCUGACCAAUGGGUUGCAAUCCAGUAGACAAAAAUGUCAUAUAGAAACCCAAAUUCCCUUAGACAUUAGAAUCAAGCAACAAACAAGAUUUUUUUUAUGGUUUUUUGUUCUUAUUAUGUACAAUUAUGGCUAGAGACCACACCAA